rnacentral:rRNA from 1 species
UUGCAGUUAAAAAGCUCGUAGUUGGAUUUCUGUGGGGACGGAGCGGCCGGCCGCAACUCGCGGUUCGAGCUAGCGCUUUCCCUACAUCCUGCCGCGAACCGUGCUACCAUUAGUUUGGUGGCGCCGGGGAUCGGCUCGUUUACUUUGAGAAAAACAGAGUGUUCAAAGCAGGCCACACGCCUUGAAUAAGUUAGCAUGGAAUAAUAACUAAGGACUUCGGUUCUAUUUUGUUGGUGUUCGGGACUGAAGUAAUGAUUGAUAGGGACAGUUGGGGCGGUCCGUAUUCCAAAGCGAGAGGUGAAAUUCUUAGACCUUCGGAAGACGAACAGCUGCGAAAGCGUUCCGCAAGGAUGUUCCCUUUGAUCAAGAACGAAAGUUGGGGGAUCGAAGACGAUCAGAUACCGUCGUAGUCUCAACUAUAAACUAUACCAGCUAGGGAUCGGCCAACGUUAUUCUAUACCGACUUGGUCGGCACCUUAUGAGAAAUCAAAGCAUCUGGGUUCCGGGGGGAGUAUGGUCGCAAGGCUGAAACUUAAAGGA